rnacentral:rRNA from 1 species
GAAAUGCGAUAUGUUAUGUGAAUUGCAGAAUCCUGUGAACCAUUGAAUUUUUGAACGCAAGUUGCGCCUGAUGCCCACUUAUAGGUUGAGGGCAUGCCUGCUUGGGUGUCACAU